GAGGCUCUGAUGCUAUUGCACCACAUGUGUUUUUCUUUGAAACAAACUUGCUUUGGCGGUGGGCCCAGCCUGCCGCCAGAGGUCUAAACUUACAACCAAUUUUUUAUUAACUUGUCACACCAGAUUAUUACUUAAUAGUCAAAACUUUCAACAACGGAUCUCUUGGUUCUCGCAUCGAUGAAGAACGCAGCGAAAUGCGAUACGUAAUAUGAAUUGCAGAUAUUCGUGAAUCAUCGAAUCUUUGAACGCACAUUGCGCCCUCUGGUAUUCCGGAGGGCAUGCCUGUUUGAGCGUCGUUUCUCCCUCAAACCGCUGGGUUUGGUGUUGAGCAAUACGACUUGGGUUUGCUUGAAAGACGGUAGUGGUAAGGCGGGAUCGCUUUGACAAUGGCUUAGGUCUAACCAAAAACAUUGCUUGCGGCGGUAACGUCCACCACGUAUAUCUUCAAACUUUGACCUCAAAUCAGGUAGGACUACCCGCUGAACUUAAGCAUAUCAAAAGCCGGGAGGAA
rnacentral:rRNA from 1 species